AAGCAGCUUGCUGCUUCGCUGACGAGUGGCGGACGGGUGAGUAAUGUCUGGGAAGCUGCCUGAUGGAGGGGGAUAACUACUGGAAACGGUAGCUAAUACCGCAUAAUGUCGCAAGACCAAAGAGGGGGACCUUCGGGCCUCUUGCCAUCGGAUGUGCCCAGAUGGGAUUAGCUUGUUGGUGGGGUAACGGCUCACCAAGGCGACGAUCCCUAGCUGGUCUGAGAGGAUGACCAGCCACACUGGAACUGAGACACGGUCCAGACUCCUACGGGAGGCAGCAGUGGGGAAUAUUGCACAAUGGGCGCAAGCCUGAUGCAGCCAUGCCGCGUGUAUGAAGAAGGCCUUCGGGUUGUAAAGUACUUUCAGCGGGGAGGAAGGGAGUAAAGUUAAUACCUUUGCUCAUUGACGUUACCCGCAGAAGAAGCACCGGCUAACUCCGUGCCAGCAGCCGCGGUAAUACGGAGGGUGCAAGCGUUAAUCGGAAUUACUGGGCGUAAAGCGCACGCAGGCGGUUUGUUAAGUCAGAUGUGAAAUCCCCGGGCUCAACCUGGGAACUGCAUCUGAUACUGGCAAGCUUGAGUCUCGUAGAGGGGGGUAGAAUUCCAGGUGUAGCGGUGAAAUGCGUAGAGAUCUGGAGGAAUACCGGUGGCGAAGGCGGCCCCCUGGACGAAGACUGACGCUCAGGUCCGAAAGCGUGGGGAGCAAACAGGAUUAGAUACCCUGGUAGUCCACGCCGUAAACGAUGUCGACUUGGAGGUUGUGCCCUUGAGGCGUGGCUUCCGGAGCUAACGCGUUAAGUCGACCGCCUGGGGAGUACGGCCGCAAGGUUAAAACUCAAAUGAAUUGACGGGGGCCCGCACAAGCGGUGGAGCAUGUGGUUUAAUUCGAUGCAACGCGAAGAACCUUACCUGGUCUUGACAUCCACGGAAGUUUUCAGAGAUGAGAAUGUGCCUUCGGGAACCGUGAGACAGGUGCUGCAUGGCUGUCGUCAGCUCGUGUUGUGAAAUGUUGGGUUAAGUCCCGCAACGAGCGCAACCCUUAUCCUUUGUUGCCAGCGGUCCGGCCGGGAACUCAAAGGAGACUGCCAGUGAUAAACUGGAGGAAGGUGGGGAUGACGUCAAGUCAUCAUGGCCCUUACGACCAGGGCUACACACGUGCUACAAUGGCGCAUACAAAGAGAAGCGACCUCGCGAGAGCAAGCGGACCUCAUAAAGUGCGUCGUAGUCCGGAUUGGAGUCUGCAACUCGACUCCAUGAAGUCGGAAUCGCUAGUAAUCGUGGAUCAGAAUGCCACGGUGAAUACGUUCCCGGGCCUUGUACACACCGCCCGUCACACCAUGGGAGUGGGUUGCAAAAGAAGUAGGUAGCUUAACCUUCGGGAGGGCGCUUACCACUUUGUGAUUCAUGACUGGGGUGAAGUCGUAACAAGGUA
rnacentral:rRNA from 1 species